UGGGGAAUAUUGCACAAUGGAGGGAACUCUGAUGCAGCGACGCCGCGUGAACGAAGAAGGCUUUCGAGUCGUAAAGUUCUUUUAUAUGGGAAGAUGAUGACGGUACCAUAAGAAAAAGCCCCGGCUAACUACGUGCCAGCAGCCGCGGUAAUACGUAGGGGGCUAGCGUUGUCCGGAAUCACUGGGCGUAAAGGGUUCGCAGGCGGAAAUGCAAGUCAGGUGUAAAAGGCAGUAGCUUAACUACUGUAAGCAUUUGAAACUGCAUAUCUUGAGAAGAGUAGAGGUAAGUGGAAUUUUUAGUGUAGCGGUGAAAUGCGUAGAUAUUAAAAAGAAUACCGGUGGCGAAGGCGGCUUACUGGGCUCAUUCUGACGCUGAGGAACGAAAGCGUGGGUAGCAAACAGG
rnacentral:rRNA from 1 species